AAACAACCCCCUAUGUUUUGAUUCUUUGGCAGUUUUAGACCCCUAAGGCAAAAAAAAAUGACACGUGGCACCUCACUUAGGGUGCCACAUCAGCGUUGACCGAGUCAACAAUGGACUGGGGGUCCAAAACUGCCAAAGAAUCAAAACAUAGGGGGCUGUUU
rfam:Medicago truncatula strain A17 chromosome 5, whole genome shotgun sequence.